UGUCUGUAAACCGUGAAUACACAGCUGCAAGCACAGAUGAGAGACAAAGGCUCAGCAGAAGGAACUGACACAGGCAAUGAAGAGAAAAGAAUGGAAACAGAAGCUGACCUUGAAACCCUGACAGAUGCACACAUCUGUGGGCCUGCAUGUAGUUUUGCCCUGCUAACCUGAUGGGACCCUAGUUUCUAGUGUGGAGUUCCUUGAGAAUUCAGGGUCAAGGGCAGUGACAGGUUUCUCUCCCACCUCUUUGAGUUGAUGAGUCAGACUCUGAGGGCAACAGAGCUUGUGGAUGGGGAUCAUGGAAGACCAUACAUAAGUCCUAGUGUUUCAGUUGAGCCCACCCCAGCCCAUCCCAACCUCUUCACCCAGCUCCCUGGGCCUGCCAUCUUGGGGUCUCAUCAGUCCUCCAGGCUCACUUGGCCUUUCUCCUAGCGAAGAGGAAAUCGGGAAGCACACGUCUCUGUCCCUAGUGAGUCACCUCAUUCCAGAACCUGCUUCUUGGUCAGAAGAGUGCCAGUGGCGUGUGCUGCUCCCUUCCAUCAAAGCAGCUGAGAGAACCAGCUGAGGUGUGUGCGUGAGGGGCUCAGAGCAUGUGCAAGGCUGCCUGCCAUUCAUCUCCCGUAGCCUCCAAUCUCCUGCAGGAUCCAUACCCUCCCACGUGAUGGCCACCUCCCGCUCACUCUAUGCUCCUUGUCUCCAGGAGGCUAAACCCCAGCUUUCUGCAGCCAUUCUCAGACUCUACAAUGAACAUGGCAGCUGCCGGUGGCACUUACCAACAGCUGGCACUGUGGGCUAGGACUGGUGGUAAGGACUCUACAGAGAUCUUAGUUCACAGUUGUCAGCUGAGGAACAAGUGGGUUUAUUGUGCCCAUCUUAUUAGUGAGAGAUAAAAGAGGGAGGGCGUAGGAGAUCAGGUGACCUGCUCAAGGUCACACAGUCAUCUUGAGCCACAUGGUGGCUAGGCUAAAACAUCCCUACUUUAUCCAUGUGGUCUCCUGUGAGGUGACGUCACAGGUGAGACAGGUACAAGGUAGAAGGAGGCCUGUCAUUGGACGAGAAGGAAGGAUGGGUGGGAGAAGUUUGAAGGAAGAAGAGGAGGCUGGAAACGGAAAGGAGGAAGAGACAGGAGGGAAAGGGAGAGAAGCCGUGGCAGAUCAAUAUGGCGGGUGACGUUAAGAUUCCAUGCUGUGCCUUUACAAGUUGUUACGAAUGUUCUUAAGGGAUGGGUGUGUAUUGGGUUUUGUAUGUUUAUGUGGGCAAUUAUAUCUUAUCAAUUGGGCCAAA